rnacentral:lncRNA from 1 species
UCCCAGUGAAAUCUGCUUUUAUUUGCUCCGAGCAAACCCCGGGCUCUCAGUGCUCCCGCCUGAUGGAUGCAAAUGUAAAUGUGCACUUAUUUAAUUGGAUCAGGCCCCAAGAUAAAAGAGAUAAACGGCUCCCCGUUUGCUAACUUAUUUUCCGAGGCAGCGCCGCGUGGAGGAGAAGCUAAUGAAGGAGGGGCGCGUCGCCGGGCGCUCGAGCUCUCCGCGGCGGUGCGCGCUGGUCAGUCGGUUCGGCUUGGACCGCGGCUCCUCGUCCAUCUCUACUGCCCGCCGGGUAGGAUCCGCUUGGUACCUGGUUCUCCUCUCCCCUGGGCGGGAGUUCAGAACUUCAGCAUCAGUACGUCUGUCUCCUUAACCC